GAUCAUGGCUCAGGAUGAACGCUGGCGGCGUGCUUAACACAUGCAAGUCGAACGGACGAUGAAGAGCUUGCUUUUCAGAGUUAGUGGCGGACGGGUGAGUAACGCGUGGGUAACCUGCCUCAUACAGGGGGAUAGCAGCUGGAAACGGCUGAUAAAACCGCAUAAGCGCACAGCAUCGCAUGAUGCAGUGUGAAAAACUCCGGUGGUAUGGGAUGGACCCGCGU
rnacentral:rRNA from 1 species